CAGCCGCCGCGGGAAUGCGAAGGGGGCUAGCGUUGCUCGGAAUUACUGGGCGUAAAGGGCGCGUAGGCGGACAGUUCAGUCGGGGGUGAAAGCCCGGGGCUCAACCUCGGAAUUGCCUUCGAUACUGGCUGUCUUGAGUAUGAGAGAGGUGCGUGGAACUCCGAGUGUAGAGGUGAAAUUCGUAGAUAUUCGGAAGAACACCAGUGGCGAAGGCGACACACUGGCUCAUUACUGACGCUGAUGCACGAAGGCCAGGGGAGCGAACAGGAUUAGAGACCCGCGUAGUCCCUGUCUCUUAUAC
rnacentral:rRNA from 1 species